rnacentral:lncRNA from 1 species
UAAUUUGAAAUAAUAAUAUUUUUUUAAGAUCAAGCUGUUAAGGUGAUUUUAUAAAGAUGGUAUUAUGGUUUUUGCAUGAUGAUUGUUAACUGUUCACAGAUUUUAUCAUUUAUAUAUUUCAGGGUGUCCAACAUGUCUAGUCAGGUUGGCAGAAGUGAAAGAUGGUCUGAUGGUACAAUGAUGUACAAAUGAUACUCUUUAACAAGUUUAACAUGUCAAGGUGUAAAAUGUUCUGUGGAUUCAUAUGAUGAGAAUGCCAGUGUUGAUCUGUAUGACUUAAUUAAACACAGAUAUUGAUACCUUCAGAUAUAUACCUGUGAAAUCUUCAGUGUCACCGUUCAGCUAUUGUUCAAGAUCAGUGUCUGCAGCUCGCACAGUUUAGUAUAGAGGAUCCUUCUGAAUCAACUUUGUUACAUAUUUGCUGUUAUUGUAGGACACACAUAUAGAGAGCAGCAAGUCCUGUACAGCCGUGCAUGUAAAUGUGAUUCAGAAACUUUGAGAAUAUGUAAACAUUACACUGUUAUAAUUUUCAAAAUGCUGUGUCUUGUAGUAUAUCAGUACUGUUUUGUCUCAGUUUAUAGCACAGUAUGUUCACAAAUCAAACUUAAGA